GGAAAAAGAAGAGUGGCGAACGGGUGAGUAACACGUGGGUAACCUGCCCAUCAGAAGGGGAUAACACUUGGAAACAGGUGCUAAUACCGUAUAACAAUCAAAACCGCAUGGUUUUGAUUUGAAAGGCGCUUUCGGGUGUCGCUGAUGGAUGGACCCGCGGUGCAUUAGCUAGUUGGUGAGGUAACGGCUCACCAAGGCCACGAUGCAUAGCCGACCUGAGAGGGUGAUCGGCCACAUUGGGACUGAGACACGGCCCAAACUCCUACGGGAGGCAGCAGUAGGGAAUCUUCGGCAAUGGACGAAAGUCUGACCGAGCAACGCCGCGUGAGUGAAGAAGGUUUUCGGAUCGUAAAACUCUGUUGUUAGAGAAGAACAAGGAUGAGAGUAACUGUUCAUCCCUUGACGGUAUCUAACCAGAAAGCCACGGCUAACUACGUGCCAGCAGCCGCGGUAAUACGUAGGUGGCAAGCGUUGUCCGGAUUUAUUGGGCGUAAAGCGAGCGCAGGCGGUUUCUUAAGUCUGAUGUGAAAGCCCCCGGCUCAACCGGGGAGGGUCAUUGGAAACUGGGAGACUUGAGUGCAGAAGAGGAGAGUGGAAUUCCAUGUGUAGCGGUGAAAUGC
rnacentral:rRNA from 1 species